rnacentral:rRNA from 1 species
CACCGCCCGUCACACCAUGGGAGUCUGUCGUACCGGAAACCGCUGAGCUAACUCGCAAGAGAGGCAGGCGUUUAUGGUAAGGCCGAUGACUGGGGUG